rnacentral:rRNA from 1 species
CUGAAUUCAGCGGCGGACGGGUGAGUAAUGCCUAGGAAUCUGCCUGGUAGUGGGGGACAACGUUUCGAAAGGAACGCUAAUACCGCAUACGUCCUACGGGAGAAAGCAGGGGACCUUCGGGCCUUGCGUUAUCAGAUGAGCCUAGGUCGGAUUAGCUAGUUGGUGAGGUAAUGGCUCACCAAGGCGACGAUCCGUAACUGGUCUGAGAGGAUGAUCAGUCACACUGGAACUGAGACACGGUCCAGACUCCUACGGGAGGCAGCAGUGGGGAAUAUUGGACAAUGGGGGGAACCCUGAUCCAGCCAUGCCGCGUGUGUGAAGAAGGCCUUUUGGUUGUAAAGCACUUUAAGCGAGGAGGAGGCUCCUUUAGUUAAUACCUAAAGUGAGUGGACGUUACUCGCAGAAUAAGCACCGGCUAACUCUGUGCCAGCAGCCGCGGUAAUACAGAGGGUGCGAGCGUUAAUCGGAUUUACUGGGCGUAAAGCGUGCGUAGGUGGCCAAUUAAGUCAAAUGUGAAAUCCCUGAGCUUAACUUAGGA